GACACCUGACCUGACGGAGGGACGACUGACUACAUCCUGACUACACCCUGACUACACCCUGACGACUGAGUGUCCAAGCACCAGCCAAUCGCCCGCCAAGGAGCCGCGACGCACACAAGCCACAGCCCGGGUGUAGCACCGCCCCAUUGGCCAACCUCGAGGCAAGGCUGAAUGGAAAGGCUGAAAGGAGGGAACGCUGGGGGUCUUGAUGCCGGAUUCUAUCCAUAUGAAGAAGUUUUUUUGGCGCUGAUUUGAAAUUUCUUCGUCCUUCUGUUUUGCGAAAAUGUUGCACUUCAUUUCCCAGCUCUGCUAGCCUCACAGUGGAGGCAAAAGACCAAUCCAAGCAUGAAACCGAGAAACACAAAAGAUAUAUUUAUUUUGAUAUGAAACGGUCUAGAUAUCUCUCCUCAUCCCGCUAAGCAAAAAAAAAAAAA
rnacentral:sRNA from 1 species